rnacentral:rRNA from 1 species
AUGUCUUUGCAGGCAUUAUUACCUGGAGACGGUGAGGAGGAGCCAGCUUGGUCUUGGGAGCAUUGGAAACGAGCUCCGGAUACCAAAGACAAGUGGGGCACGGUGUAUGGUAGUGCCGCCGAGCGGGUGGUCAAUGAUUUUUGGGACUUCUUUACUUGCGCCGAGGGUAUGAAGGAUGAAGCUAAUGAGGUUGUGGAGGCGAUUGCCAAGAAGAUUGUCCAAGACAUGCCCUAUGAGGCGCGCGUUGAUGUUGUGGUGAAGUAUUUCGCGCAAGAACGCAAAAUGUUCUCAAAAAGUCUCUAG